rfam:Hordeum vulgare subsp. vulgare, WGS project CAJW01000000 data, contig: morex_contig_363191
CAACUACUCCCUCCGUCCGAAAAUACUCGUCAUAAAAAUGGAUGUAUCUAGAUGUAUAUUAGUUUUAGAUACAUUCUUUUUUAUUUAUUUGUGCGACAAGUAAUUUCGUACGGAGGGAGUAUAAA